rnacentral:other from 2 species
AAGCCCCUGUGAGGUACGAGUUUGGUGUUUUUUCAUUUAGAACCUACAGGCACCGUUUGGGGAUUGUCUCUUGUUGUGGUGAGCAUGCCCCUGUGCCGUUGACUCUAAGAGAGUGCUCUUAGAGUUUAUGGUGCGGGGGAAGCCUGAAGCAGCAAUAUGAUUCCCACCUGAUUUUCAGGGUUCAAAAUGGUGAUGCCACACGGCCUUGACGGGGGUUUU